UUUUUUGAUUUUAAUAUAAGAUCUUACCUGCCCAUUGAUUUUUUAGAAUUAAAAGGCUGCGGUAUUUUAACUGUACGAAGGUAGCAUAAUAAUUUGUCUUUUAAUUGAAGGCUAGAAUGAAUGGUUUGAUGAAAAAUAAACUUUCUUUUUUUUAUUAAAUUGAACUUAAUUUUUUAGUUAAAAAGCUAAAAUAUUUUUAUAGGACGAGAAGACCCUAUAGAAGUUUACUUUAUUUAUAAAUUUUUAUUUUUAGUUUUUAAAAUUUAUUUUUAGAAUAUAAGGUUUUGUUGGGGUGACAUUAAAAUUUUUUAAACUUUUAAUAUAUAUAUAUUCAUUAAUUUAUGUUUUUUUGAUCCAGAAUUUUUUGAUUAUAAGAUUAACUUACCUUAGGGAUAACAGCGUAAUUUAUUUGGAGAGUCCUUAUC
rnacentral:rRNA from 1 species